rnacentral:rRNA from 1 species
AUGGGUGUGAUAUCGCGGAAGGUCCUGCCAGUGUGCGGGGCCCUGUGCUACUUCUGCCCCGGGCUCAGGGCACGGUCCAGGCAACCCGUUAAGCGGUACAAGAAGAUCCUUGCUGAAAUCUUCCCCAGAUCACAGGACGAAGAACCAAAUGAGAGAAGGAUCGGGAAGCUGUGCGAGUACGCCGCCAAGAACCCUCUUCGAGUGCCCAAGAUCACAGUUUACCUGGAGCAAAGGAUUUACAAGGAAUUAAGAGCCGAGCAGUAUGGUUUUGCAAAAGUGGUGAUGCUGAUAUACCGCAGACUGCUGGUUUCUUGCAAAGAACAAAUGCCACUGCUUGCGAGUAGCUUACUAAGCAUUGUACACACACUUUUGGAUCAAAAGAGGCAGGAUGACAUGCGCAUAAUAGCUUGUGAAACCUUGUUUGAUUUUGCUGUCAAUCAGGUGGAUGGUACAUAUCAGUUCAAUCUAGAAGGGCUGGUUCCAAGACUUUGUGAACUAGCUCAAGAAGCAGGAGAGGAUCAGAGAGCAACUUCACUGCGUGCUGCAGGCCUGCAAGCUCUUUCAGCUAUGAUCUGGUUCAUGGGAGAGCUUUCUCAUAUCUCGUCAGAGUUUGAUAAUGUUGUUGAAGUUGUAUUGGAAAACUACAAACCUCAGAGGGCCCAGAUUGAUGACCAAGUUACCAAAGUUCCAGACAAUGAAUUUGCACAAGAAGUCCCCAAAACAGAGGAAAAUAACUCCCCCUUUGUCAUUAUCGAGAUCCCCACCUGGGAGAGCAUAGUUAAUGCUAAGGGAGGAGUUAACCUGCCUACGGAAGAUGCUAAGGAUCCUAAGCUUUGGUCCAGAAUCUGUGUGCACAAUAUGGCAAAGUUUGCUAGGGAGGCAACAACAUUCCGUCGUAUCUUAGAGUCUGUGUUCCGGUGCUUUGGUAGCAGUAGUUCCUGGUCACCAGAUAAUGGACUUGCUCUGUGUGUAUUGUUAGACAUGCAACUGUUAGUGGAACACUCAGGGCUAAACAUGCACUUACUGCUGGCUCUACUGAUAAAGCAUAUUGAAAACAAAGCAAUGGUGAAGCAACCAGACAUGCAGCUUAGCAUCGUGGAAGUGGCAGCUAUCCUUGCAGAGCAAUCUAAUGCUCAGGCUUCAGUAGCAACUAUAGGUGCCAUAAGUGAUCUAGUCAGGCAUUUAAAGAGAACAUUCCAUAUUACUCUUGGUAGCAAAGAUGUGGAGCUAGUAAAAAGGAACGAAAAAUACCGAAAAGCCAUAGAUGAAUGCCUAGUGGAACUGGCAAAGAAGGUAUCUGAUGCUGGGCCAGUUCUUGAUAUGAUGGCGGUGAUGCUAGAGAACAUUUCAAGCACUCCUGUUGUGGCCAGAUCAACUGCGGCUGCUGUUUAUCGCACAGCUCAAAUAAUUGCGUCUGUGCCAAAUAUUCAAUAUCAGAAUAAGGUGUUCCCAGAAGCUCUAUUUCAUCAGUUACUCUUAACAAUGAUCCACCCUGAUCAUGAAGCUCGUGUGGCUGCCCACCGUAUAUUUGCUAUUGUCUUGGUCCCCUCCUCCGUUUCCCCUAUACUUCAAGCAAGUGCUACAAGCCAGGCUAGGGCACAUGACAUGCAGAGAACACUCUCUAGGGCUGUCUCCGUGUUUUCAUCUUCAGCUGCUAUCUUUGACAAGUUGAAAAAGGAUAAGCACUCUGACAAUUCACAAGGAGAAAGCAAGAGUAAUUCGCACGGCGUUAGUGAAGAGACUGGAAGUGCUAAUCGGCAAAAGCUACCUGUGUCUCAAAGCCGCCGCAGUAGCAUGAGAAUGCCUAACUUCUCCAUGAAAAAAGGUCCAUCAAUGGCUUUGAGAGCUCCUUCAUCUGUUAAAGCUCCCUCCAUCGUUCUUAGAGGUCCUUCAAUGGCUCUGAGAGCACCUUCUAUGUCUGUGAAGGAAGAAAAAAAAUCCUCAAGCAUGUCAGAUGAUGAAAUGGAUACACUUUUGCUGAAGUUGAGUAGUCGUCAGAUCACCCUUUUGCUGACAUCCAUUUGGGCUCAAGCAGUAUCUCCUGAGAACACUCCUGCAAACUAUGAAGCCAUUGCUCAUACCUACAGCUUGCUUUUGUUGUUUUCUGGAUGCAAGGCAUCCAUUCUUGAGGCUCUUACUCAGAGCUUUCAGGUUGCAUUUGCUUUGAGGCACUAUUCACUAACUGAAGCAGAAUUACCACCAUCUCGACGCCGCUCCUUGUUUACUCUGGCUACAGCCAUGACAAUUUUCUCUUCAAGAGCUUUCAAUGUGGCACCUCUUAUUCCAAUCUGUAAACAGAUGAUUAAUGACAAAACGGGCGAUCCAUUCCUCCAUAUAGUGGAUGAUAGUAAACUUCAGGCUGUGAAAGAUUCCCCUGAUAACCCAUCGAAAAUAUACGGAUCACCAGAGGACAAUGCUAGCGCGUUGAAGGCCCUUGAAGCAAUAGAAGUAUCAGAAAAUCAAUCUCGAGAGUGCAUCGUCUCUACAAUCAUGAACAAUAUAGCAAAUAUUAUUGAUGCAGAGUUGCACAGUGUGAGAAGCCAACUGCUAAGUGACUUCGCUCCCGAUGACAUGUGCCCAAUGAGCAAUCAGUUCUUUGAAGAAUCUGCUGAGCAUUCAGUAUCAGGAUCUCAUGAGAAUGGCCACCAUGAAGAGGCUAUGGUGAUUGACCUGGGAAAUGAGAACGAUAUCUUUGGGGAAGCUUCAGGAAGUACAGCAGCUUCUGCAACAUCUGUACCUACUGCAGAUCUUAUGAGUAUUGAUCAGCUUCUCGAAACAGUCGGCGCAGACCCUGCACAUCAUACGGAAAAAUCUUUUGUGUCAGCAGACAUGCCAUACAUGGAAAUGACUAGCCAAUGCGAAGCCCUGACGAUGGGGAAACAGCAGAAGAUGUCUACCUUCAUGAGCUUCCAGACGAACAUGCAAGCAGCUCCGCUGCCAAGCCAUCAGCCCAGCCAGAUGGAGAUGGCUCUCUUCCAUGAUCCGCCGUUGCCUCAGGCCGGGGCGCAGAGCACGAACCCGUUCGCCGACGACAACUUCAAGGGUUACCCUGAGUACACGAACACCGGCAACCCGCAGCCGGCAGAUGAUCCCUUCCAGCAACAUUUCCUGAAGCUGCCGGCGUCAAGCCCCUAUGACAACUUCCUCAGGGCUGCAGGCUGCUGA